AAGGAGGGAGAGUGAUAUGGCACUAAUGUCCUGCUUGUUUGGUCACUGCAACAACAGAAUGCUGAACUAUUUAAGCCUUCAAUCUGAUCCAACAGGGCUCUUGUGUUGUCUCCCGUGUUUCCACCACCCAACAUGCAGGAGAACCUCCUCAGACAAUGUUUGGCUCAUACAGGAAGAGAAAGCCCUUCAGGUAUCCUGUACCUGAGGCAGCAACCUUAUUCAGGGAAUGCCCUUCUCACUGACACAGAGCACCUCUGGUUUGUCCAGAUUAGUAACUGUCAGUUUAUUGAACUGAAUCCAGUCCUAGAUGCUGCUCUAGGGUUUCCAGGUAAGAGUGUGAAUAAAUAUUGUCUCUUGUUGCUAGAUAAUAAAGUCGUUACAGCAAGCAAUUUCUCUCUUUCCUUUCUCUUCCACACAACAACUGAUUGUAUUAUAGUUGAUUCGUGUGACACUUGAUGCAUGACCAGAUGUUGAUGAAAUCAAUCCUUAUCCAACUUCACGGCAAAGCAGUUGUUUGUAUCAUCAAGAAUGCAGGCUGCUCCUCAGCAUGCAGUGAAAAUUGUGCUUUAUUAUUAUUAUUGCUCGCUUUAUCAUACCACUGCUAUCUAAGCUGCACAAAUGAAAGUAUUAAAGGAUUCACUUCCCCAUAUCAGGAGCUUAAAUAAGAAUUAACUAAACAAUUGAACAGUUAUGAGCCAAAGGGAGACACCCUCCACAGGUGAUGGAAAUGCCCCAAAGUAAAUAAAUCCUUCUAAAUUAUCAAAAGCAGUACUAUAAAUAACACAGUUUGUUAUGGUUACAGGUAGGUAGCUGUGUUGGUCUGCCAUAGUCAAAACAAAAUUUAAAAAAUCCUUCCAGUAGCACCUUAGAGACCAACUAAAUUUGUUAUUGGUAUGAGCUUUCAUGUGCAUGCACACUUCUUCGAAAGCUCAUACCAAUAACAAACUUAGUUGGUCUCUAAGGUGCUACUGGAAGGACUUUUUUAAUUUUGUUUCGACAGUUUGUUCUAAUUAUCCUUUGGAUCCCAUACUUUUAAAAUUAAAUUAAGUUUAAUAGAGUUGAUGUUAAACAUUUUUGUUCUGGACAGUAAAAAAGAAUGGUUAAUGAACUUACAGGGCAUUGCAAUUACAGAUAGCUAAUAACAGUUAUAUCAGGGCCCUUCCAGACCGAUAUUUUAUUAUGGAUGUAUUCUUCAGCAUAUUCUUGACACAAUGAUAGUGCACUAAUGAUGGGUUUCCCAUUGGGCCAUGGUUAUUGAAUGGCCAAAAUCCUGGGACCACCUCACCAUUGCCACUGUUACCUCCUCCUCCUUGGCUGUCCAGUCAAGGAGGAGUCGGUAAGUUUUGGAAAGAGUUUUUCUUUUAGAAUUUACAAGAUCAGAUUCGAAUCGGGAAAUUUCUACUGAGAACCCCUUUUGUUUGUCAGAUUUAAAUUUUUCAAAUAACUGAUGGUAUUGGAACCAGUCUGAAAUGUGUUCUCUUAUUUCCUCAAAUUUUUAAAAUUUUAUUUGGUUAUCUUCAUUUUUUAGAAGUAUUUUAUAUGUUGGCCAGCUUUCCUGAGUAUUUUUCCGUUUUACUGCUAUGGCUUCUACUGGAGAAGUCCACCACGGGACUUUAGGCUCCAUCAGGUCUUUAUAUUUUUCCCAUACAGCAAAGAGUGACUUUCUUAUUAUAUGGUUGGUAAAUUUUUUAUGAAUUUUCGCUUUUCCAUAUAUUAGGUAGGCGUGCCAUCCCCAACGGUUGUCAAAACCUUCCAGGUCCAGGAGGUCCGGAUCCUGCAACGUGCACCAAUCUUUUAGCCAGGUAAAACAGGCUGCCUUGUAGUAAAGCUUUAGGUCGGGUAGGGAAAAGCCUCCUCUCUCUUUUAUGUCUAUUAAGAUAAUGUGUUUAAUCCUAGGUUUCUUCCCUUCCCACAGGAAUUUGGAAAUUUCUCUUUGCCAUAUCUUGAGACAACCUGCUUCACCCAGUAUUGGAAUCAUUUGAAAUAAAAAGAUUAAUUUUGGAAGCACAUUCAUCUUUAUAAUGGAAAUCCUACCCAGAAAUGUUAAUUUUAGUUUACUCCAGGUUACCAAGUUUUUCUAAUCUCUAACCAAGUUUUGGUGUAAUUAUCCUGAAAUAAGUUUAUGUUCUUGGGGGUGAUCCAAAUACCCAAGUAUUUCGCUUUUGAAGAGAUUUUCAGGCCCAAUAUUUUUUCUAAGUCGUCCUUUUCUUCUGUGGUUACAUUUUUAACAAGCAUUUUUGUUUUUGUUAUAUUCAGCUUAAAGCCUGCCACUUCUCCAAAUUCUUUAAUCAAUUCCAGCACUCUUUUCAGACUUUCUUUAGGGUUUUCAGUCAUAACUAGUAGAUCGUCCACGAAAGCUUUAAUUUUAUAUGUUUUGUUUCCCAGAGUGAUGCCUUUAACAAGCUGAUCCCUUCUUAUCUGAUUGUUCAAGACUUCCAUCACCAAGAUAAAUAUCAGUGGAGACAGUGGGCAGCCCUGUCUGGUUCCCUUGUUUAUUUUGCACUCCUCAGUAAUUCUUCCAUUGAUGAUCAAUUUUGCAUAUUGUUCCGAAUAGAUGGCAUUUAUUCCUUUACAAAUAUUUUCUCCCAGACCGAUUUCUUCCAUUAAUUUUUUCAUAAACUUCCAGGACACGUUAUCAAAAGCUUUUUCAGCAUCUACCAACAUAAUAGCUGCUGGUUUAUCAAUUUUAAUAUCCAAAUAUUCUAAUACAUUAAUCACACAUCUAAUAUUGGAUUGCAUAAAUCGUCCGGGAAGAAAUCCGGUUUGAUCUUUAUGAAUUAUCUCUUUCAGCACCAUUUUUAAUCUAUUUGCAAGAAUGUCUGCUAAUAUCUUGUAAUCGUUAUUUAGCAGUGCAAUGGGUCUGUAAUUGGCCAUGUUUGAGGCAUCUGUUCCCUGUUUAUGGAGAAGAGUAAUAAAGCUGUCCUUCCAGGUUUUCGGAAGCUUUCCAUUUGCCAGAAUAUUAUUCAUUAGGUUUUUCAUGGGAAGAAAUAAUGCUUGUUCUAACUUUUUAUAGUAAUUAGCUGGAAGACCAUCUGGGCCCCGGUGUCUUUCCUAAUUUUGAUCUCUGUAUAGCUUGUUGCACCUCCAUAGCUGUUAUUGGUGAGUUCAAGAUUUCAGUUUUUUCCUUAGGUAUUAUUGGUAGUUUAUUGGUUCAAUGGGAAAUUUUAUGGAAGAUCAAUUGGAAAUUCACAAACUGUUACACGAUUAGAGAGAACUUUCAAAAAAUGCAACAUCGAUGGAUAUCUAACACCAUGGAAACUUUCAAAAAUGUAUAAAAAUGUGUCAAGUAAUUGUUGGAGAUGCGGAGACUCAGGAACAUUCUACCAUAUGUGGUGGAUAUGUAGGAAAAUACAGGUAUUCUGGGAGAGUAUACAUGCAGAACUGCAAAAAAUGCUAAAGAUCUCUUUCAAUAAAAAACCAGAGGCCUACCUCCUGGGAAUAACAGAUUUGGAUAUUCCACAAAAGAGGAAGCGUAUCUUUUUAUAUGCGACGGCGGCAGCAAGAGUGUUGAUCGCAGCAAAAUGGAAGAGUAAUGAAAUCCCCUCUAUACAAGAUUGGAUCCAAAAGCUGACAGAAUAUGCCGAAUUAGAUGGUUUAUCAGAAAAAAUAAAGAAUAAAUCAAAACAGGAAUUUGUUUCUAAAUGGGAGGUUUUCAAAGAAUAUCUGAAAAAUAAAUAUAGUAGUUUAAAUUCUGUUGCAGCAUUCGAGGAACUUCAGUAAUAGUUGCUAGGUAGAUAGAAGAAAUUAGAUUUAUUGAGAAUAAGUUUAAUUAUGAAAAAAAUGUGUAUUGGCAAUAAGUAAUAUGAAUUUGAAAUAUGGAAUAGACGGGAAGUUGGGUCUUUAGUGUUAAGACCAAUAGAUGUUUUAUUGUUUGCCAAGAAAAUUAUGUGUCUAUGGUUAUUUUUGUAAUUUGUGUGUAAUUUGGUAUUUUUGGUUUCUUGUGUGUGUUUUUUUCUUGUUGUAUAAAUAAAUAUUAAAAAAAAAAAGAUAGUGCAC